rnacentral:tRNA from 1 species
GCUGUGACUCAGUGGUAGAGGGCUUGCCUAGCAUGUGUGAAGCCCUGGGUUUGAUUCUCAGCACUGCA